rnacentral:pre_miRNA from 1 species
ACCGGGAAGAGGAAGAAAGAGAAUGUCUAAGAGUUUUAGGAAUGGGACAUAGAGAAAGCAUGAACUGAAUUUCAUACUACCGUUUAGAAUAGAGAUUUGGCAUCGGCGUUUUCUCGAUGUGUUACUUGUUCUUCCUGUGUGUUUCUUCCUUGUCUUCUUUUAG